UGGGAAUUUUGGACAAUGGACGCAAGUCUGAUCCAGCCAUGCCGCGUGCGGGAAGAAGGCCUUCGGGUUGUAAACCGCUUUUGUCAGGGAAGAAACGAGUUUCUCUAAUACAGAGACUUAAUGACGGUACCUGAAGAAUAAGCACCGGCUAACUACGUGUCAGCAGCCGCGGUAAUACGUAGGGUGCAAGCGUUAAUCGGAAUUACUGGGCGUAAAGCGUGCGCAGGCGGUUAUGCAAGACAGAGGUGAAAUCCCCGGGCUCAACCUGGGAACUGCCUUUGUGACUGCAUAGCUAGAGUACGGUAGAGGGGGAUGGAAUUCCGCGUGUAGCAGUGAAAUGCGUAGAUAUGCGGAGGAACACCGAUGGCGAAGGCAAUCCCCUGGACCUGUACUGACGCUCAUGCACGAAAGCGUGGGGAGCAAACA
rnacentral:rRNA from 1 species